rnacentral:lncRNA from 1 species
AUGUCACCACAGAGGAGGCGGCGCCAUGUUCUGAGGGACAGCCCUGUUCCUGACAGGGAACAGAUUCUGCACCUCCUGCCUGCAGGGGAAAGAUCCUACAUGGUCAGAACACCUCCUGCCAGCAGCCUGCUUGGUAGGAUCCUGCUGAAGGGGGACAGGCUGGGAGCUACAAGACGCUUUUUUCGGUUCCUACUUUUGAUGCUCUGUACAUCAGAUGUCUCACUCCAGGUACCCAGACUUUUCCAAUGCUUUCCUGUAUCCGUCUUCCUACUGUCAGCCAGCGCUUCAAGCAGACGUGAAGGACUGCAAAUGGCAGUUCCUGCAGAAAUCACCAACAGGCAGAAACUGCACGUAGUUCUUCCUGCUCGUGAGAAUUUCCAUGCACUUCAAUAAAUAUAUGUUGUUGCCCUCUACAAGAUGUCAAGUUGUGCCACUGCAAAUUUAAAAGUAGCCCACAGGGGAAUAGCACGGGGAUCACAGAAUCAUGACUUGGGUUGGAAGGGACCUAAAGGGUCCUCAGGCUCCAACCCCCCUGCUGCAGGCACGGCUACCAACCCCCGUAUAUAACACUAGACCAGGUAGUCCAGGGCCCCAUCCAGCCUGGCCUUGAUCACCUCCGGGGAUGGGGCAUCCACAACAUCUCUGGGCAGCCUCCUCCAGCACCUCACCGCUUUCUCUGAAAAGAACUUCCCUCCCUGCUAUCCAACCCAAAUCUUCCCUCUCUCUACUUAAAACCAUUUUCCCUUAACCUGCUAUUAUUUUCUCUUGUAAAGAAUUGGCUGCCCUUCUGCUUAUCGGUGGAUAAGCAAUGAGGCCUUCUUGUCCACCUGGGCACGCUGCUUAAUCAUAUUCAGCUGACUGUCCAUCAGUACAGCAAGGUGCUUUUCUGCCCGGCCUCUUUCCAGCCACUCCUCCCUAAGCCUGCAGGAUUGCCUUGGGUUCUUUACAGCAAAAUGCAGGACCUGACAUUUGGCCCUAUUGAAACUCAUGCUGUUUGCCUUGGCCAAUCAAUCCAGUCUAUCCAGGUCCCUCUGUAGUGCCAUUCUUAUCUCUGGCAGAUGAACACUCCCUCUCAUCUUGGUGUUGUCUAAAAUCUUACCAAGGGUUCAUUCGUUUCCCUCAUCAUGAUCGUUAAUAAAUACGUUAUAUAGAAGCA